GGGGCUUACUCGCUGGGAGGUCCCGGCCUCGGGUGGGUGAGACAGAAGGGGAGAGGAGGGAUUUCCGCUUCCGCCGGGAGCUGGAAGUCACUGUCUCCCGGGUGAACGAGGCUGUCGCAAAGAUCGUUGGCGAGUGCAGGUUUGCCCUCCUGCAGACAUGGGGCGCAGAAAGUCAAAACGGAAGCCACCCCCCAAGAAGAAGAUGACAGGCACCCUAGAGACCCAGUUCACCUGCCCCUUCUGCAACCACGAGAAGUCUUGUGACGUGAAAAUGGACCGGGCCCGCAACACCGGAGUCAUCUCUUGUACCGUGUGCCUGGAAGAAUUCCAGACGCCCAUCACUUAUCUGUCGGAACCAGUGGACGUGUACAGUGAUUGGAUAGAUGCCUGCGAGGCGGCCAAUCAGUAGCAACGCAGAGGACCCACUCCCUUGGCAGCCUCACCCGCUGGCCGCCCUGAGGAAGGAAGAUGCUCACAGAUGAGGAAACAGGCCCGAGACAGGAGGUCACCGGCCAAAGGUCCCACAGCCAGAAGACUGCACGGCUGCCGGGCCUUGAAUCCAGGAGGCCUGGCUUCACAGCCCAGCAUCUUACUUCUUCCUGAGUCCAGGGUCCAGGCUAAGGGAACAGCUCCUGGCUUCCUGGGGGGUGGGGGGCAGUGGGGAGCACUGGAGAAGAGUAAGGGACCCUUGUCCUAGGGUCGCGAGGAGCCGGAGGUGGAGCCAGAUGCACGUGUAGGGUGUAAGAAGAAAUGCCUGGGCUUUGUCCCUGGCUCCUGGCAGGAAGCUUCUAAAACCCUUGGAAUUUCCUGAGCAACUGGAGUACUUUUUGUCAUCCAUAAAGAGCCCCUUUUGAUCACAGUGGGAAGGAUGAUGGAACCUUCCUCCCAGGGCCACGCUGAGGAUGGAGGCACCUGUCAUGAUUCCUGGCACAGUUCCAACAGACUCGGACCCACCAGGGCAGCGGGGGAUGUGAACGGCCGAGAAGAUGCUGACCAGGCCAGAAGCCCUGGCCACCAGGCCCAGCCACUGGGUCCGGCAUGUGUCCCCCAGGGCCCUCUCUACCCUGACAUACCCCUCCUUGGUGCUCCCACCUCCCCCUCCAAGGCCCCAGGUGGGGUUCCCUGGCCGAGGCAGGACCCAGCGGACACAGGCAGAGUGGUGGACAGGUCCCCACAUUCCAGCCUCGCCCCCUGCCCUGGGGAGGGAAGGGGAGAAGACCGCUGUGCCCCCAGCAUGGCCGCAUCCUCUCGUUGGAACCCUGGCAUUUGAUAGCUUCUGGGCAGCCCGUUCCGGCGCUUGGCCUCAACGCAACCCACAGGCCCCCAGGGAAGGCUACAGACUGGAAACUGAGGCCCAGAGAAGGUGGGUCACAUGACUGAUAGGUGGCCUGACUUCCAGGGUUCAAGUUCCAGCCCGGCCACUCAUCACAUGGGCAAUCCUGGCAAUCAGCCCCCAGCUGCAGCCCCACCACAGACCGUCCACACACACAGGCAGGACCCAGAUGGGAAACCAACCCCGGGGAGCUAGACUCGUUCAGCAAUUCCUUUUACUCUGCCUCCUGAAGACUUCCAGAAGCCCACCUCCGCCCUGCUCUGAGCCACCAGUGUCUCUUUCCUGGGCUCUUGCCUUGACCUCCCCUUGGGCUCCCAGCUUCCACCUCAUCCCCUCCAGAUGCUUGUCAUCCCAUGGCUAAAAUGGCCUUCUUAAAGCAAUUCCGUAUGGUUUAUCAUAGGAUAUUAAAUAUAGUUCUCUGUGCUAUACAGUAGGACCUUGUAUAACUUUGCUGUACAGCAGAAGUUAACACAGCUGUAAAUCAACUAUACUUCAAUUAAAAAAAAAAACUUCCAGUUACUCCCCAGUUCAGAGCACUCCCAUGGUUUCCUAUUGCCUUGAGAAUAAAAGCCUAACUCCAUAGUAUGAAGGAUGAAGAGGCCCUGUACCAUCUGGCCCCCAGCUAACUCCCUCCACUUUCCCUGAUCACUGAGGCACGCUCCCACCCCAGGGCCUUUGCACUGGCUGUUCCCGCUGCCUGGCCCACUCUUCCCUAAGAUGUCCUGCCGGCAACUUCCC